rnacentral:tRNA from 1 species
UCCCACAUAGUUCAGUUGGUAAAGAAUCUGCUUCCAAUGCAGGAGACCUGGGUUCAAUCCCUGGGUUGGGAA